UCGAUUGGUUUUCUUCGGUUUCGGCUGCUUCAUCCUCUAGGUUUGGCACCGAAAAAAGACCCAACCCGCCUAAGGGGGCCUAGCCGCCUAGCCCAACAUUGCCGGCUUGUUGCAGAUUUUGACGGAGAAAAAUCUGAUAGCGGAGAAGGGUCGAGUUCCAGAGCCAUAGAAUUCGACCAUAUUCAGGAGGAGAUUGAGGAGGUGUCUGCCGUUCCGGAAUUAUUUUGACGGAGAAAAAUCUGAUAGCGGAGAAGGGUCGAGUUCCAGAGCCAUAGAAUUCGACCAUAUUCAGGAGGAGAUUGAGGAGGUGUCUGCCGUUCCGGAAGUGAAGGAGAAGAAUAAGAGCAGAAAUGCUUUGAGGAAGGGGUCGGAAGGUGAAGAGGUCCGAGCUAUGCAGGAAGCAUUGCAAAAACUAGGAUUUUACUGGGGUGAGGAAGACAUGGAGUUUUCCAGCUUCUCAAGCGGGACCGAACGUGCUGUCAUGACUUGGCAAGCCUCCUUAGACGCCCCCUCAAAAUGGCAUAGUGACUGCCGAACUUCUUGAACAAUUACGGUGGCACAAAUUGAGGGUCUGGAUAACAAAGGGAGUACUCUGACUGCUGCACAAAAGGAAGAUACAAAUGGAGCUGCAGUUACUUCUGCAACAGAAAUUUCAGAGGUCCAGCAAACACUUGUGAAAGAAGGUGUUACAGAAGUAGAGGUAUCUGAGCAUCGUGUUUUUCUCCUUGGAGAGAACCGCUGGGAAGAUUCUUCUAGACUUAGCAGGAACUGAAAAAAAAAAAAAAAAGGGAGG